CUUUACUAAUGCAGUUAGACCUAUGUUUAAGCUACAAUAGUGGAUUCAAUUGUCUACGAAAUGGGACUGUGAGGGAAAACGAAAACGAAAGAUACAUGACUAAUGACUAAAAGCUAAAGUAAUAUUCACGUGCAUAAAGAAGCGGAUAGGAGACGAAUCUUAAGCAUAACUGGACAUGGUAGCUGCAAGAAUUGUCAAAAUAUCUGAAAAGUCAAAAAUCAGUGCUUGAAAGAGAUUCAAUGCAAGCAAAAAAACGCGUGAAGCAUGGUACGGCUUUCUUGCGUGUCACAAAGCAAGUUGCAUUCUGAAUUGAAAGGUCAAAGGAGAGGUAACAGACAGACACGUCAAACAUGAAUGGUCCGGUUUUGAUUAUAUAAAUUUAUAUUAUAUAUAUUUUAUUUUUUCUACAACUAUCCUUGUGUCUGGGUUUGUCGGAUAUCAAAGCUUGCCCCAGCAGUGGCGUAUGGCAAAGUUUAAAUCCGUCCCCUUGAUCGUUUACUGAAAUUUUAGCUACUGUUUGUUGUUUAAGAUACUUUUUACGUGAGUUGUUUUAUCAAAACGAGGUUUCGCUCAUGCGCGUGGCAGGGGCAGUGGCCUUCGUGCCCUAUGUAUGUCACCGAGCCCAGUAUCACCCAGAAAUUCACAAUUCUUCAUUUCGUGUCUUAUCAUGGCAAAAGAGCUCAAUAUCUCAAUGUUGCUCGCUUUUGAACAACCUGUCCCUACAUUCCCGUUAAUAUCUCAAAACUUCAUCCACUCGAUAUUUUUUUUUGAGCACUAGAGUUUUUUGGGUGAGUUCUCAAGAUUAGAUUCUUUUUUAGUCCUUAAUUUCAGAAUCUCUCCUAAAAAUGAACUUGUUUGGAAACCAAGGCUAUCGCAAUAUAUUUUUGUCUAUUUAUGUUGUCUUGCUUGAAGAAUAAAAAAUUA